GACGAACGCUGGCGGCGUGCUUAACACAUGCAAGUCGAACGGAAAGGCCCUGCUUUUGUGGGGUGCUCGAGUGGCGAACGGUUGAGUAACACGUGAGUAACCUUCCCUUGACUUUGGGAUAACUUCAGGAAACUGGGGCUAAUACCGGAUAGGAGCUCCUGCUGCAUGUUGGGGGUUGGAAAGUUUCGGCGGGUGGGGAUGGACUCGCGGCUUAUCAGCUUGUUGGUGGGGUAGUGGCUUACCAAGGCUUUGACGGGUAGCCGGCCUGAGAGGGUGACCGGCCACAUUGGGACUGAGAUACGGCCCAGACUCCUACGGGAGGCAGCAGUGGGGAAUAGUGCACAAUGGGCGGAAGCCUGAUGCAGCAACGCCGCGUGCGGGAUGACGGCCUUCGGGUUGUAAACCGCUUUCGCCUGUGACGAAGCGUGAGUGACGGUAAUGGGUAAAGAAGCACCGGCUAACUACGUG
rnacentral:rRNA from 1 species